CUGAAGUUAAAUUACCUAUAAAUUAACAACAUACUCUCAGAUCACCAUUCAGUUAGCAUAGCAUGAACCUUUUGUGCAUAGGCCUUUAUUUCCCACCAAAAUAUGUUAAUCUUUCUGCCUUCAUGUGAUACGUGACACAAUUUUGUGUACAUGAGAGACAGACACUGGUUUUAUAAUGUCUGUAAAGGCCUCUCUCUAAUUCUUCAACUCUAGCAGAGAAAUACAUAGAUACACAAUUGGUGAAAUCAGGGUGACAAAGAAAUGGUUGAGGUGUGUUCAAAGCCCUCCCUCAAGACGAUAGGAGCUGAACAAUGAAAUAAGUAAGCAGAACAAAAAAUGUUAUCUGAAAGGACUGAUCUCGUUUAUCCCAUUUUUUAAGUGUGUUGAUAACUGAUUUCACAGCACAAACACCCAGUAACAUAUUACAGCCAGUCUAAUAUUUUAAUGUUAUUUCAACAUGUGAAAUAUACCAAACAGAUAUUCAUGAAUUUAGAAAAACCUUUCUGGGAUAACCUUAUCAUAACAAUUGUCUUUUUUUUUGUUGCCUAUGUUUUUGUUGUAAACAAAUGUCCUGUUCUGCCUGAAAUUAAUCUGAUAUUCAUAUCAUCUCAUUCCUGUCAUACAACAUAAAUACCACUUUAUUUCUAUGUGAACAAGGCAUAACAGAUGCAGUUGGCACACAAUAAUAAUUAUUGAAAUGUAACUUAAGGGAAGUGAAUGUCUUUUCAGGUAAUGGAUUGUAUUUAAUUUAAUUUCUUCAUUAAUCCGGUACAGGAAACGAAACCAGCAUUUUCUUCAUUCAAUGUAUAAGUAAUAGUGAAUUACAAAACAGUAUAAAUACACCAUUCAGUUACAAUAAGUAUUAGUGCAGUAAGUAGAAGGAAUAACUAUCAAGAUUCUUAAAAUCUUGUUGAUAAUUGGUAGACCAGCUGUCUUUUUUUUUUACAUUGUCCUCAAGCUGUUCAAUAUUCUCAUGUUCUCCAUAGCAAUUAAUUAUUUCCCUGUACAUUUUGGGGUAAUAAAUAAUAAUAAAUAGUAUACAGUUCUAAUAAUUAAUAUGAUUACAUUGUUGGUAAGUUUCCCUGUCACAGUGGUGAUCAGUUAUAUCAGUAUUAGUCAAGCAGUUGUGACAACAUAACAAGACAGAUGAGUAGACUUGUCUUGUAGCUUAUUCCACUGGAGGCGGCAGCAUUGUUUAUUGUUGAUUCAACAACAGAAGAAGGUGUGGUCUUAGUGGGGUCAGCUGUGGUUGUGGUUGUAGCAGUAGCUGUGGUUGUGGUUGUAGUUGGAGCAGCUGUGGUUGUUGUUGCAGCAACUGUUGUUGUGGUGGCUGCUGCAGCAGUUGCAUGUGUCGUUGUCAUGGCAGGAUCUGUGGUGGUCAUCAUGGACAUAGCUGAGGUUGUAGUUGGAGCAGCUGUGGUUGUUGAAUGAGCAACUGUGGUAGUUGUGAUGCCUGCUGUGGUUGUGGUGGCAGCACCUGUGGUUGUGGUGGCAGCACCUGUGGUUGUUGUGGGAGAAACUGUGGAUGUUGUGGGGGCAUUCGUUGUUGGGCUUUGGGCAUUCCCUGAUGCUGUUGCAAAUGAAAAAGCAUAGAUUUUAGAACAUCUUUUAGAAUUUCGUAAUGAUCUACAAUUUAAAGACUAGAGAAUGAACUUACCUAUAAUCAUAAGGACUAUGAGAAUUUUUCUGUUCAUCUUUGAAAAUGUUUUCUUUUUAGUCUGUGGUCACAGAGAGAUGGGCACAUGAUUCAUUUAAAUGUAAAAUACAAAUAUUUAUCAACAGAAUGUAAUAUAAACUUGAAUAUUGUGGACAAAGAUCACUAAUGGUAAAUGCAGUAUUUUUGUCUGUUUGUGUACAGUAAGUCUUGUUUGUGAUGUUUCUAAUCAAGUGAUCCACAACUUCUUUGUCUUGAUAUUUAAUAUUUUAAUAAUUCACAUUUGUAUUUUUUUUAAACUUUUAUUUAUUAUUUUAACCAUGAUUUAUUUAUCCAGAAGUCUUGUUAAGGUCAGAAGGCAUAUUUUUAUUUAUUUAAACAUGGCUAAGAGGUCAGCUGAAUUAAAACACAUAGAUACGCUACAGUGCAUGUGUUAUUGUAUAAUCCGUACAUGUAUAGACUUACCACUAAAUCUGUAGAUUUACAAAAUGAAAAUGUAAUCAUUCGAUUUAGUGUUUUUACACAUUUACCAUAACACAUACACAGCAGAGCAAAACAUGAAUAUGAAUAACUGUAAUUACCCACCAUCAAUCAUAAAACACAUGUAGUCAUUAAGAAUUGAAACAUUUGCACACCUCCUGCAGCAAGUCUGAAACUAUAGCCUUGAAUUCCUCUAUCAGGACAAAGCACUCUAGGUUAAAGAAGAUGAUUCCUGGAC
ensembl:lncRNA